rnacentral:rRNA from 1 species
CAUGGCUCAGGACGAACGCUGGCGGCGUGCUUAACACAUGCAAGUCGAACGCUGAAGCACAGCUUUUGUUGGGUGGAUGAGUGGCGAACGGGUGAGUAACACGUGAGUAACCGGCCCCCUUCUUUGGGAUAACGCCCGGAAACGGGUGCUACUACUGGAUAUUUACUGGUCUGCGCAUGGGGGUUGGUGGAAAGGGUUUUUCUGGUGGGGGAUGGGCUCGCGGCCUAUCAGCUUGUUGGUGGGGUGAUGGCCUACCAAGGCUUUGACGGGUAGCCGGCCUGAGAGGGUGACCGGUCACAUUGGGACUGAGAUACGGCCCAGACUCCUACGG